rnacentral:rRNA from 1 species
UACGAGGGGUGCAAGCGUUGUUCGGAUUUACUGGGCGUAAAGGGCGCGUAGGCGGCCAGCACAAGUCAGUUGUGAAAUCUCCGGGCUUAACUCGGAAAGGUCAACUGAUACUGUGCGGCUAGAGUGCAGAAGGGGCAACUGGAAUUCUCGGUGUAGCGGUGAAAUGCGUAGAUAUCGAGAGGAACACCUGCGGCGAAGGCGGGUUGCUGGGCUGACACUGACGCUGAUGCGCGAAAGCCAGGGGAGCGAACGGG